rnacentral:rRNA from 1 species
UGAGUAACACGUGCUUAAUCUACCUCUUAGAUUGGAAUACCUAAUGGAAACAUUGGUUAAUGCCGGAUACGCAUGGAGUCGCAUGACUCCGUUGUGAAAGGGGCCUUUAAAGCUCCACUAAGAGAUGAGGGUGCGGAACAUUAGCUAGUUGGUGAGGUAACGGCCCACCAAGGCUAUGAUGUUUAGCCGGGUCGAGAGACUGAACGGCCACAUUGGGACUGAGAUACGGCCCAA